rnacentral:rRNA from 1 species
UUGAACGCUGGCGGCAGGCCUAACACAUGCAAGUCGAGCGCGAAAGGUUUUCGGACUGAGUAAAGCGGCGGACGGGUGAGUAACGCGUGGGAAUCUGCCCAGUAGUGGGGGACAACAGUCGGAAACGACUGCUAAUACCGCAUACGCCCUACGGGGGAAAGGGGGGGAUCUUCGGACCUCUCGCUAUUGGAUGAGCCCGCGUCGGAUUAGCUAGUUGGUAGGGUAAAGGCCUACCAAGGCUACGAUCCGUAACUGGUCUGAGAGGAUGAACAGUCACACUGGAACUGAGACACGGUCUAGACUCCUACGGGAGGCAGCAGUGGGGAAUAUUGGACAAUGGGGGCAACCCUGAUCCAGCCAUGCCGCGUGUGUGAAGAAGGCCUUAGGGUUGUAAAGCACUUUCAGUGGGGAGAAAGGUUUGUCACCUAAUACGUGAUGAAAUUGAUGUUACCCACAGAAGAAGCACCGGCUAACUCCGUGCCAGCCGCCGCAGUAA